rnacentral:lncRNA from 1 species
AGAGAGAUUCUAAUCCACUCCACUACAACUUUAGGGAGAUGGGAUUUGUUUAUUUAAUCUGCCCCACUGCAAUUUUAGAGGGAUAAGACUUGAUUUCUUGAGUCUGCUCCACUGCAACUUCAGGGAGAUAAGACUCGCAUUCUUGGGUCUGCUCCACUGCAACUUCAGGGAGAUAAGACCCGAUGCGAUCUGCUCUCUGCAACUUCAGAGAGA